AGAAAUGCAAAUUAAAACAACAAAAAAUGAAUUUUUGUAUGUUAAUUUUGUAUUCUGCAACUUCACCAAAUUUAUUUGUAAGUUCUAAGGCUUUUUUUGUGUGUGAAAUCUUUAAGGUGUUUAUAUAUAACAUCAUGCAAACAGGCCUGGUGUGGAGGCUCAUGUCUAUAAUCCCAGCACUUUGGGAGACUGAGGCAGGCAGAUCACCUGAGGUCAGGAGUUCGAGACCAGCCUCGCCAACAUGGUGAAACCCCGUCUCUACUAAAAAUGCAAAAAUUAGCUGGAUGUGGUGGCAGGCAUCUGCAAUCCCAGCUACUCAGGAGGCUGAGGCAGGAGAAUCACUUGAACUGGGGAAGUGAACGUUACAGUGAGCUGAGAUUGUGUCAUUGCACUCCGGCCUGGUGACAGAACAGGACUCUGUCUCAAGACAAAAAAAAAAGAAAGAAAUAAAAAAAGAUCAUGCAAACAGAUAAUUUUCCUUCUUCCAUUUCCAUUUGGAUAAGUUUUAUUCUUUUUUUCUUGCCUAAUUGCUCUGGCUAGGACUUCCAGUACUAUGUUGAAUGGAAGUGGUAAGAGUGGGCAUCCUUGAAUUAAUCCUUACCCUAGAGGACAAGUUUUCACUUUUUCACUGCCAAGUAUGAUAUUAGCUAUAGGCUUUUCAUACAUAGCCUUAUCAGUCUUCAGGGACUAGUCUGAUACAGAAGACCCUGACCAAUCAGCCCAGCCAGAAAUACUGCAGGUCUCUCAAAACUUCAUUCUAAAUAGUUUAAAUCAUUAUCUUUUCUCCCAGUGGCCCCCAGGCAUCUAGAGUUUGCUGCAUUCAUUCAGUAGCCUGAGACAGAAGGUAGUGCCUUGGGUAGCCUACAGAAAAAAAAGAAUAUUGAAUGUAUGGUUAGUUAUUUUCUCCCCUCUCCAGGGAGAAGCUGGAAGCUGAGUUUUUUUUUUACCUGCUUGCUUUGCACUGAGCUAGAGAGUGGGGCUGUGGCAUGUGCUAGUUUGCUAAUUCAAGCUGCAGUCUUUUUUUCCCAAUGGCCUCCAGUGACUAGAGAAUGGUGGUUCCUGUCAGUAUUCUGAGACAGGUAAAAUAGAAGAUAGUGCUUUGGGUAGCUCCCAGAAGGAUCAGAAUAUUUAUCUUUCCACAGGAAGAAGUUAGGAGCUCCAGUCAUAUGGUGCUACGCCAGCUGUAGGGCUAUGGCUAGACAGUAUCUUGACUAUUCCUAUUGGCUUCUGUGUGGCUGGUUUCAUCCUUGCCCAGGAUGCAGGAGUCUCUCAACUAGUUUCUUUAUUUCUCACAAAGGGAUUGUUCUGUGAAUUGUUGUUGAAUUGGUGUGUUAUGGAGGAAAGGAGGAUCCAGUGCUUUCUAUUCUGCCAUCUUGCUGACAAUCACCUCUAAAUUGUUAUGUUUUAGCUAUUCUGGUUCCUGAGCACUUACAUACAAACUUUAGAAUAAUCCUGUCUACAUCCAUAAAAAUUAUUGCUUGGAUUUUGAUAGAAAUUGUAUUAAACUUGUAUGUCAAUUUGGGGAGAACUGAUCACUUUAC
rnacentral:lncRNA from 1 species